GUCUUAAGGAGGGCUGCUGAGCCCAAGGGCGCACCACCACGGAGAAGGAGGAGGACCCCCUGGGCGGGAGCGCCCGCUGUGUGGUCCUGUGCGCCGCCCCGCAUUUUUAGGGUUCCUUUUUUCUCUUUAUGAGCCCCUUUAUACCUUCCUUUUAGAAGGGGAAAGGCGUCCUCCCACACCUUCUCCCAACGCUUUUUGACUUUUUUUUUCGUCUUGAAGUUAGCCAAAGGCCUAUGUCUUAUUCUCAAACGGUCCCGAGAAUAAUUCUAAUGGAAUUUAGUUGUUUUUCUGAGGGAGGAUGGGUGGAGAGAUACUACUCAGCUCUCCUAGUCGCUUUUUAAGGCGUUCGCCAGAAAUCCUUCAAGAGGGGGGACUUCUUAAAGAGACGGCAGUUUAGAGUAAGGCAGAACUGGAUUGCAGAAUUUGGGGCAAAGCGGUAUGUGUGCAGGUGAAGACAGCUAAAGCUUUCCUUUGUUACGUUGCUUCAAGAUGUACCACAAUUAAGUAGACAUAUGAUAUUUAAGUCAACCAUAGACUGAGAAGGAAUUUAAACAGUUGUAAGCGAAAAAUAAUCUGUUAAUAGUGCACAGUGACAAUGAAACUAAGACUAUUUUCAAUUUAUUCACCUUCUUAGAAUGCAGGCCGUGGAACCCGAAUGUCUGGGUUUGAAUCCUGCCUCAGUUGCUUAUUUAUUAGCCUCUCUGUGCCACACCUUGGUCAACUGUGAGAUUAAGUGCCACAUAGUAGAUGUCAGCAGUUUUUACCAUCGUUAUCCUUUAGAUGUCAGUUUAACUGGGAGCUAUGGCAUCAUGAACAAGUAAGAAAGACUAGCCUAAUGGUUAGAGGAGUAAAAAGAGGAAGCCUCUGUGCUGAGGGCCUAGGAAGGGAUUGGGCUUGCAAAUAGAAGCCAUGGUCAUUUAACCAUGUGAUUCAUUGUAAUUGUGAGAAUUGUAUGCAUAAGUUAGACCACCUGAAGUUUGAAACACUUUUUUUUUUCUCUUCCUUAAUUGAAGUCUUGUUAUUUAAUCCAUAUUUUUUGAAUUUGGUAGAAGUAAAAAGAAAUUUGACAGUUUCAAACAUCAUUUGCUUUUAAUCAUAAGUAAUUUUUGAGUUACAGCAGUAAAAUUGUCUGAAUUAAAAUUCCUAGAACCUGAAAUAAAACUUCUAAUAGGUUCUUCAGAAAAAAUGCUGCUGUGAAGACAUAAUUAUAGCUUUCACAUAACUGAAGCCCCAACCAUCAUGAUUUAGUGCCCCCCAAAGGAAGAACUUGAGUGGAAAAGAGAGGGCAUUUCUGGGGAUAGUAGAAUGCUUGAGACCUGAAUUUAAUCUCAAGCUCCUUCAUGAAGGUAUUAAAUAAUAGAAGAAAAUGGAAUUGAAUAUGAUACCAGCAUGGAACAGUCUGUUGAUUCAUUAAGAGUCAACCAUAAUGAUUCUGAAGAGUCAAAAAUCGAUUCUCAGCAUCUAAGCUGUAUGGACUCCAGUGAGCCUUCUUUUGGACAAGAUGAUUCCCCUAGAGUUUUACCCAUUACUACUGCAGUGGAUAAUUCACUCACAUCACAGAAUAUACCAGGGCCCCUGACUCAGACACAGACUCUUUCUGCAGAGCAAUUCCACCUAGUGGACCAAAAUGGGCAACCUAUUCAAUAUGAGCUUCAGUCAUUGGGGGAUUCUAAUGCGCAAAUGAUGAUUGUUGCCAGCCCAUCAGAAAAUGGACAGGUGCUGCGAGUAAUUCCAUCUACCCAGACAGGAACGACACAAGUGAUUGUACCUCAGGGGCAGCUUGUGGAUGUGAAUAGUCCUCAGGAUGUCUCUGAAGAGAAACCCAGUGACAGAAACUUACCAACUGUAAGAGUGGAUUCUCUAGCAGACAAUAACAGUAGUUACAUUCUUCAUCCACAAGCAUCCCUCACAUUGCCCAAAAAGACAGUGACCAGAAUACUUGAAGAACCUUUUUUGGCUCCAAUCCAGCCACUUUCUUCUAACACACCUAUAUGGGCCUGUCGUCUUAGGAGCUGUGAGAAAAUAGGAGAUUCAUACCGUGGCUACUGUGUAAGUGAGACUGAAUUAGAAAGUGUCCUAACAUUUCACAAGCAGCAAACACAGAGUGUUUGGGGGACCCGCCAAUCUCCAAGCCCAGCCAAGCCAGCUACACGCUUGAUGUGGAAAUCCCAGUAUGUCCCAUAUGAUGGAAUCCCAUUUGUCAAUGCAGGGAGUAGAGCUGUGGUAAUGGAGUGUCAGUAUGGGCCAAGAAGAAAAGGUUUCCAGUUAAAAAAAAUCAGUGAGCAGGAAAGCAGGUCUUGUCAGCUCUACAAAGCUACUUGUCCAGCCCGGAUUUACAUUAAAAAGGUACAGAAAUUUCCUGAAUAUAGAGUUCCUACAGACCCCAAAAUUGACAGGAAAAUAAUCCGAACGGAGCAGGAAAAAGCCUUUAACAUGCUAAAGAAGAACUUGGUAGAUGCUGGUGGUGUUCUUAGGUGGUAUGUACAGUUACCUACGCAGCAAGCUCAUCAGUAUCAUGAAUUAGAGACUCCCUGCCUCCCUUUAUCGCCUUCCUCUUUUCCUAUGUCUUCUCUUGAAGAAGAGGAAACUGCAGUUAGAGAUGAGAACUGUACAUUACCCUCACGUCUACAUCCUCAAGUAGCACAUAAAAUUCAAGAAUUAGUAUCACAGGGAAUACAACAAGUGUAUGCAGUAAGGAAACAGCUAAGAAAAUUUGUGGAAAGGGAACUGUUCAAACCUGAUGAGGUACCUGAAAGACAUAAUUUAUCCUUUUUUCCAACUGUAAAUGAUAUAAAAAAUCACAUCCAUGAGGUACAGAAAUCCUUGAGAAAUGGAGAUAAUGUAUAUAACUCAGAGAUUAUUCCAGCAACGCUUCAAUGGACUACAGAUAGUGGGAAUAUUCUCAGAGAGACUGUGACAGUUACACUUGCAGAAGGAAAUUCACAAGGAGAAGCAAUUUCCAGCAAAGUGGAAACAAAUCAGACAAGGAGUUCUUUGUCUCCAGAGCCAGCGCACUUGCUGUCCUCACUUUCUUCAUUUCAGCCAAAAAUAUUCACACAACUACAGGGUUUGCAGUUGCAACCAAGAUUCACUUCUUCUGAUGGAUCACCAGCUCUGAUAUCAGUAAAUAAUCACCCCUCCUCCAGUCCUUCAAGACUUCUGGAUUCAAUAGGAAGUGCUGUAAUGAAUAAUAAUUCUCUACUGCUUGGUCAAACUCAUUGCCUUCAAACAGAUACAUGCCUAACCCAAAACAAUAGUAUUUCCUCUACCAUGGGUAACCUUCCAGGACCAGAUCAAAAUCUGGUUGCAGUUGAUCAGCUGGUGGAAGUUGGAGAUGUUGAGGAUACAGAGAAUCUGGAAGGGAAUGUUCAUCGGAUUCUGCUGGGAAAUGUGCAGACCAUUCCAUUACAGAUUAUAGACAGCCACCCAGCUCUUAUUGAAGAAAGUCCAGAAGGUACCAUUUCUGUGAACCAAGUUAAGCAAGAACCCAAAGAACCAGCAUUAUCUAUGGAAGCAAAAAAAAAUCUGGACUGUAAGAAAUUGUCUGCUACAUAAAUUAUUGAAGCUUUUCAGAAUUUACAACUCUGGUGACUUCUGAUGUCAUAAAAAAGAAGGUGAAUAUUAUCAAAGCGCAGCGUUGUGAUAAGUGGACUGAAGACUGGUUUAAUGAGCAGCUUUAAUUUAAAACUGACAUAUUUGUUGCUAACUCCCUAUUUUUACCUUAAGAGAUAUUUUAUUCCUCUUAUUUUGUAUAAUUCUUAUGCUUCUUGAUUAUCUGAUAAGGCCAGUAUUUCAAAAGGUCAUCUGAACUUAUCCACUUAUCUAAUUCAUCCUCUGGAAAUAUCUAAUUUUGGUUCUUCAAAAAGAACAACAAAAAAAGUAUGUGAGUUUGUGUGUGUGUGUGUGUGUGUGAUGAAUUUUUUUGAGUUCUGAAAGAGUUAUUCCCUCUUUAAAGUUGUGAAAAAAUUUUUUAAAUUGGCAGAUGAGAGAAUAUCUGAGGUCUGUCUCAUUUGGAAAGAAAAACAACAGAUUUUACAUCAUAACAUGAAGCCAAACAUUCACAUCUGUGAAAACUAUAUAGUUGCAUUUUAGCUUCUUCCAUUCUAAUUUUUAUACUUAUAACUACAAACCAGUAGUAUACCAAUGGUCAUCUAGUAGAAAUUUACAGUGUCUUGGUAAGUACUGAGAGUUUUAACUUGAAUCAGAUAAGCAAGAGAAAUAAAUGUAUUUUGCGUGGAUUUAUACAGUAGUGUAGUUAAAAUACUACUUAUGGGUUGAAAAAUGUAGAAAUUGAGAGAAUUCAGAAAGAAUAAUAGAAUUCCCUGGUGUUAACAGAUAAUUAGGGGAACUUUUUGAUAUCAGCAGAAGAUUUUUUUUUUUUUUCCUAUUUUGUAUUGAAGAUUCAGCUCUGGUUAGAAAAGAAUUUGAGUUGUAUUUAUUUUUCUGUGCCAGAGUUCUUAAUGAAUUGAUGGUAUUAGAAUUUAUAGUAUUUAAAGGUAAAGAUUUAUAGUUGAAAAUUUAAUUCAUAUUUAAAACUUUAAAACAACUGGUGUGUUACAUUUGCUUGUUGAAUAAGCAUAUUUACUUCAAAUACUGAAUAAGUACUAAUCAGUAUAUUCAUUAUAAGCUUCUCUUUUCCAGAAGGUUGGUAACCUAGAAAUGUCAAUUAUAACUGUCAAGAAAUCACCUAAAGGCUUUUUUUCCCCCUAGAGACCAUAUGUGGGUUUAUUUAAAUUUUUAUUUAAAAAUAAGAAUUUCAAAUGGAUAUUAAUGUUUAAUAUUCAAAGCAUGCAGAAUAUAAUAUGAUAUUCAGCCUUAAUACUUUACAUGAAUAUGAGUCUUUUUGUAAGUAUAUUUACUUCAAAUUCUGAAUAAGUACUAAUCAGUAUAUUCAUUAUAAGCUACUGGUUUCUAUAAGGCUGGCAAACUGGAAAUGUCAAUUAUAGCUGUCAAGAAAUCAACCUAAAGCCUUUUUUUCCCCCAGAGAUCAUUUGUGGGUAUAUUUAAAUUUUUAUUUAAAAGUAAUAAGCAUUUCCAAUGGAUAUUAAUGUUUAAUAUCAAAGCAUGCAGAAUAUGAAAUUUAACCUUAAUACUUUAUAUAAAUAUGAGUCUUUUUGGCUUUUCUAAGUCCAAUCUCCCAUUCUUAAUUCACUUUAAUUGUUUCAGGUACACAACAUGUAUCUAAGUAUAAAGCACUGUUAUGUUAGAAGCAGAUGGAAUUAUAAAAUUCCUUGCUCUUUAUAUUUAUACCCUAUUUAACAUAAAAUUUAUUUGUACCUCUAUUUAAUGCAAAGUUAAUAUUCAGUUACAUACAUAAUUUUUUAAUAAGAAUUGCUUUUAUUUUUCCUAAGAAUUGAAAAUACUUGAUGUCAGCAUUUAUAGAGGCAGGCUGCCAAAUCUAUGUUAUGCUAAGUUAAACACAACUCUUAGUUACCUCAAGCCCAGUUUUCUCUUAGUCUGUGUGUACUUAAAGGGUAUAAGUCCAAAUUAAUUUAUAGUUUAGUGUUGCAUUGUGGGUAAUAUUCAUUUCAUUUGUUAUUUCUAGUUUUUGUGGAAACUUUUUUCAAGAUUUUAAAUAAUAGAUCUUCACCUUUCAUUAAUGACAAUAGUUUAUUAUAGUUUAUUAAACUAUAUUCCUUUGGAGACAUUCCUUGCUUUUUGAUGUUGAGUUGCUAAGGAGAAAUGCUUGUUAAGAUACAAACUCUAGUCAGUUACCUAGAAGGAUGAGAGAUGUCAGAGGAUCCAGACUUUGGCACUUGAUCAAGAACAAAACAUAGUUUAAAAACAUUUCUCACUUAAUUCUAUGUGAAUGUCUCUUCUGAUAUUUUUUUUUAUGAGGACAGAAAGUUGCAGUGAAUCUUCCCCCCAAACAAAAAGAAAAAAAAGAGAGCAUGAAGGUUUAAGUCCCUAAUUGUAUACUCUUUUGGUUUUUAGGUAGGAACUGGAACUAUCAAUAUUUUCAUGACCAUAGAAUAUCUUACUCUCUCUCCAGAGGGGGACUGCAUCGUCUCUUCCCCAUCAACUGAUUAGGCUUUAGACAUCUUAAAUGGUGUAUUAUUUUUAUCUAAAUAUCUGUAAUUCUACUCAUUUAACAUAAUGGUAAUGGCAAAGCCUAGUAUACUUUUGCCACAUACAUGUUAGCUAUGAAUUCUGUUGUUGAAUAAUAUAAUAUUCAUUGUCGACUGAAUUCUUAAAACUUAAGGAAUAAACUCAGAAUUUUUAAAAAAUCGCAUUUGUUAAUGAACCCUAAAUUGAUUCAUGAGAAAAAUAAACUGUAUGAUUAAUAUGGAAAACCUUUGAGAAUGUGAUAUGGGUGUAAGAGUGCAGGGGAGAUGUUGCUUAAUGGUACAAACUUGCAACUAGUGGAUACAUAAUUCCUGGAGAUCUGAUGUACUGCAUGGUGAUUAUAGUCAACAAUACUGUAUUAUAAACAUCAAAGUUGCUCAGAGACUAGAUCUUAAUUGUUCUCA